CUUGUUUUCAAAAGAAAGAGGUGGAGAGUGACACAUUGAAACUCAGCAGAACAAAAGUACAGGCAGCAGCACCUGUCCUAUCUCAAAAGGGAUGCUGUUCCAAAGAAGAGAGGCAGCCACACUGAAAGCCCUGCUCUAUGAUAUCUCACUGACGUGCAAGCAGAGCCAAUGGCACCAUUGAAGGAUCUAGGCUGAAAUGUCCAAAAAACAUACCAUCCUACAGAUGUUGGAUAUCGUAAAACAUUAUUUCAGAAUUCAAAAAGCCAAAGAUCUGAUUUGCAUUUAGAUCCUGAAAUCUUUGAUUCAUGUGCAGUUUUGAAUUUGAGAAGCAAACUUAGAACUUUUAAAUUCAGAGAGAGUCAACAGUGGAGAGCUGGGGCCUAUUCUUGUAACUGCUUUGGUGCAGGGUUUGUUCCCAAUUAUUUCAGCCCAUUGUUAGGUAUUACGGGGUAAG